GACGAACGCUGGCGGCGUGCCUAAUACAUGCAAGUCGAGCGAGCGGAACUAACAGAUUUACUUCGGUAAUGACGUUAGGAAAGCGAGCGGCGGAUGGGUGAGUAACACGUGGGGAACCUGCCCCAUAGUCUGGGAUACCACUUGGAAACAGGUGCUAAUACCGGAUAAGAAAGCAGAUCGCAUGAUCAGCUUUUAAAAGGCGGCGUAAGCUGUCGCUAUGGGAUGGCCCCGCGGUGCAUUAGCUAGUUGGUAAGGUAAAGGCUUACCAAGGCGAUGAUGCAUAGCCGAGUCGAGAGACUGAUCGGCCACAUUGGGACUGAGACACGGCCCAAACUCCUACGGGAGGCAGCAGUAGGGAAUCUUCCACAAUGGACGCAAGUCUGAUGGAGCAACGCCGCGUGAGUGAAGAAGGUUUUCGGAUCGUAAAGCUCUGUUGUUGGUGAAGAAGGAUAGAGGUAGUAACUGGCCUUUAUUUGACGGUAAUCAACCAGAAAGUCACGGCUAACUACGUGCCAGCAGCCGCGGUAAUACGUAGGUGGCAAGCGUUGUCCGGAUUUAUUGGGCGUAAAGCGAGCGCAGGCGGAAGAAUAAGUCUGAUGUGAAAGCCCUCGGCUUAACCGAGGAACUGCAUCGGAAACUGUUUUUCUUGAGUGCAGAAGAGGAGAGUGGAACUCCAUGUGUAGCGGUGGAAUGCGUAGAUAUAUGGAAGAACACCAGUGGCGAAGGCGGCUCUCUGGUCUGCAACUGACGCUGAGGCUCGAAAGCAUGGGUAGCGAACAGGAUUAGAUACCCUGGUAGUCCAUGCCGUAAACGAUGAGUGCUAAGUGUUGGGAGGUUUCCGCCUCUCAGUGCUGCAGCUAACGCAUUAAGCACUCCGCCUGGGGAGUACGACCGCAAGGUUGAAACUCAAAGGAAUUGACGGGGGCCCGCACAAGCGGUGGAGCAUGUGGUUUAAUUCGAAGCAACGCGAAGAACCUUACCAGGUCUUGACAUCUAGUGCCAUUUGUAGAGAUACAAAGUUCCCUUCGGGGACGCUAAGACAGGUGGUGCAUGGCUGUCGUCAGCUCGUGUCGUGAGAUGUUGGGUUAAGUCCCGCAACGAGCGCAACCCUUGUUAUUAGUUGCCAGCAUUAAGUUGGGCACUCUAAUGAGACUGCCGGUGACAAACCGGAGGAAGGUGGGGAUGACGUCAAGUCAUCAUGCCCCUUAUGACCUGGGCUACACACGUGCUACAAUGGGCAGUACAACGAGAAGCGAGCCUGCGAAGGCAAGCGAAUCUCUGAAAGCUGUUCUCAGUUCGGAUUGCAGUCUGCAACUCGACUGCACGAAGCUGGAAUCGCUAGUAAUCGCGGAUCAGCACGCCGCGGUGAAUACGUUCCCGGGCCU
rnacentral:rRNA from 1 species